UUCAAUAGUCCUCAUCAUCAUUAGUGUAAAUUAGCAAGUAAGUUUCUCCGGUCUGUGAUUUCUUAUUGAUAGAAAAAAGUCGAGAUUGCAUUGCUUAAUAAAAACUAGGCAGGGUAGCACAACCAAUAGGAAGCUAGAAUACUAUAGAAUACCAUGCUUCAUUCAAAGAGUUCAAAACAAAGCAAUGUACUAGGAGUAAUCAGGUUGAUGGAAAAAUUGUUCCCUGUAAGAAGAUGCAGUAACUCUUUCAUGCCACUAGGGUAUUAAUAUUAGGGGGAAAGAAGCAACUGAUUAGAAUCCCAGAAGAGCUGUUAAAUCCCAGGAGAGAAUCAGAGUGCAGAAGCAUCUUCAGUUGGAGAGCCAUUGCCUCUUGCUGUGAAAUAUUUGGGAAUCUUCAGAAACCAUGAAGAAUAACCUGCUAAAGCUGAGCUGGGACUCUGCCUGGAUAUAACUUAUGGCCUAUUCUAUAUGGAAAGUUGGUUUUCUCACAGUUCCACUCCCUUUCCAGAUAUCAGCAAAUGGCCCUCCUAGCCCAGAAGUCUCCAGAGAGGCCACCAAGUUCUAUUGAACAUCAUGAAUCCUAUGCUCAAGUGAGAUCAGCUCAAGUGAGACCAGAUAUCUGAAGACCUUUUCAUUUUCGCCACCCUCAAAUGAAGGCAUGCAAGCUUAUGUUGACACAUCGUUCUAGGAAGAAAACAGAACAUUUCUGCUCAUCAGUGUUUUGCAGUAGGAGAUAAAAACUAUCAUGUGGAAGAUGCCCUCCCUGUGCCAAGAGAAAAGAAACAUUCUUCCAUGAAGACUCAUAGCCGAGAUAAUUCCGUAUAAACAGACCUUGUUAAAAGAAUUAUCUCCCUUUGGCCUCCCCACAAAAUUUAGAUACUUUUCCACAAUUGCCUCUUUACAAAAUCAUGUAAGCCUUGCUUUUUUUUUUAUCUUCAUUUUCUCAUGAGGGCUCCUGUGUCAUGUAAAAUAUGUUAAAUUUAUACGCUUUUCUCUUGUUAAUUUAUCUUACGUCAAUUUAAUUCUCAAGCCCAGCAGAGACCCUAGAAGGGCAGAGGUAAAUUUUUGCCUGCACUACACUAUUGAUCCCAAAACACACACACAGAGAGAGAGAGAGAGAAAGAGAGAGAGAGAAACUCUCUUCCUAUUCUGUGCCAGUGAAAUUCUGCCAUCAGCAAAUAUAUCUUUUCUGACUUUGAAAAUACUGAUGACAGUGGAGAUUAAAAUCCUACCAAGGCUGCUGCAGAAUCAAUGACACAUGAGGUGGCCAGGCAUGGUGGCUCACGACUGUAAUCCCAGCACUUUGGGAGGCCAAGGUGGGUGGAUCCCCUGAAGCCAAGAGUUCAAGACCAGCCAGGCUAACAUGGUGAAACUCCAUCUCUACUAAAAAUACAAAAAAUUAGCCGGGUGUGGUGGCACAUGCCUGUAAUCCCAGCUACUCAGGAGGCAGAGAGAGGAGAAUUGCCUGAGCCCAGAAGGUGGAGGUUGCAGUGAGCCGAGAUCAUGCCACUGCACUCCAGCCUGGGUAACAGAGUGAGACUCCGUCUCAAAAAAAAAAACAAAAAACAAAAAACAAAAAAAAAACACAUGAAGCUUUACCAGAAGAUUUCAGUAUGUCCUCCAGUGCGUAAUUCAUUUGUUCAACAAUUUUUACUGGGCAGGCAUUCUAAUAGAUGUUGAGGAUAUCACAAUAAAUAAGGCAAACAAAAUCUCUACCCUAUGGUAGAGAUUUUGAAAUAUCAAAUUAUUAAGUUUUAGGAAAAUUCAAUGACAAAAAGAAAGUCUUAUAAUAUUACCAUGUCCAGAUAAUGUAAGUAUUUACACAUUACUAUUUCAAUUUCAUUCAAUUUUUUUCUAAACUUUUAUUUUUUCAAACAUGUAAUCAUAAUAUAUUAGUGCUAAGUAUUAAAACAAUUUCUUAAUUCCCAUGUAAAUUUAAGGGUAUUUAAGCUUUUUUUUUUUUUUUUUUGAGACGGAGUUACACUCUUGUUGCUCAGGCUGGAGCUCAAUGGCGCGAUCUCAGCUCACCGCAACCUCCGCCUCAUGAGGUUCAAGCAAUUCUCCUGCCUCAGCCACCCCAAGUAGCUAGAAUUACAGGCAUGCGCCACCACGCACGUGGAAUCAGUUGUAUUGUUUCAAUACAACUUUUGGAAAUAAAAGUAUGGCAAAUUCUCACUCUCUUCCUUAGGUAAGCACCAAACUUUAAAAACAAAAGGCACUCACUAUAAGUGUGCUGUAGUGUUAUAAUGGCUAUGAGGUCAUUAAGAGAUAGGAAUUUUUCAGCCCGUUAUAAUCUUAGGGGACUAUUGUAUACGCAGUCUAUCAUUGACUAAAAUAUUAUUAGGCAGUAUAUGACUGUACUUUUGUUUAAGAUCUUAUGACAAAUCCAAAUAAAAA
rnacentral:lncRNA from 1 species